rnacentral:lncRNA from 1 species
AGCGAAAUGGUUUGUUGAUGCAAAGGUUUAAACUUUUAAGAUUUACACUGCAGGGUAGUUGGAUGCUGUAUAGUCGAACGGCCACCAACAUCAAGAACUAUAACUCCAAGACCGGGUUUGCAUUAAUUCAAUCAGCUGAAAUAAUGAUGCAAAUGACACUAUCAGCUGGACUUAGAGACCAGUCAGAUCAAUCAUCCUUUUAUCAACAGUUAAUGUCAUGAUGGUGUCUAUCGGAGGAAACAAAGGAUGUGUCGGAAUCAAUAUGAACAGUGAGAAGAAUGAGAGGAGCUUUGAUUAUAAGUAGGCUCAAUGAACUCAUGCUGGUAAGUGGUAAUUAAAGAAAUUUGUGCGCUUAGUAGCAUUCAAUAUUUUCUGUUUGGGAUAUAGUUGAUGAGUUGAUACUCUGAUUAAGAAGCCUGAUUAUAGUAGCUGACUUUUUUUUUGUGGUUUGCUGUUGUUUAUUCUUUCGAUUAAUUUCAACAUUAGGUUGAUCUGUUGAAGAACAAACUUGGGUUUGAUUAUGCUUUAACUACAAGGAAGAGCCAGACUUGGAUGCAGGCGUUCAGCUUUUAAUGGGUAAGAACAAAUGUAUGCUUUAACCAUGUUUCUCACUUAUUACAAUGCACACAUUGAAGGCAUCUGAGCUGAUCCUGAAAAUGUGAUGGAAAUACUUCUCUGUUUACAUAAAACAGACAAAUAGAGAUCUCUGAUCAUGCCUGAGAAUUCGUUGCAUUUAAAAUUUCUACCAUUGCCAAAAAUAGAAUAAACUACGGAUACAUUAGCUUAAGACUCAAUUUUGAGAAGGAAGUUUGCACAUGCAGCCUAAAAAAUCACGUCCGUGUUGUAUACUUGUAUGUUUCUUUGGGAAAUGAAAGAUUCUGUGUUCUUUUAUUUCAAGUUUGCUGAAAUCACAUUUGUUUUCUUAGAUGCUUUUGGGAAGGUAACAACAUCAAUUUCAUAAAUGCUGGGGUAAGAUGCAUCACGCAGUGCUACUCAACAUGAGAAUUCCCGGCCGCAUUACCUGUAUGUUGAGUGAUCGCACAGUACAACCUUUAGAAGCUUGUAAGGAGUAGACAACUAGAUGCGAAUAGUUUCAAUAUGGAUUCGCAUCAAAUGAUCUCUUGCCAGUGAUUACUAUAACCUCUAUCCCAAAAUUCUUGGAACUGGUCAUACCAAUAAUGAAGUAUUGUGUACGUUGAAGACGUAGCUCAAGGCCUUGCGAAAGCUCCGUCAGCCUUUGUAUUGGAAAACAGUUGGUUGUAGUUGCUUCUGAAUGAUAUUAUUAAUAGAUACUGUAAAAAUGAAGUGUGCCACUCAUUUUCAGAGCCCUGUUAAGAUGUGUUGGUAAUGUGUUUGAAGGUUGUUUGAUUUGUGUUGUAUUCAGCUAUAAAUCAAAGAUUCAGAACAUGGUUAUGUUACUGGUUUCCAAAUAAAAAAAUUGCCUUGUGAUGUUAGUGUUCAUUGUUUUCACAGGAGAUCAGGUUCCCUGUUGAUGAAUCAAGAAGGCAAACGCAUCCAUGCCUUAAGUUCAAAUGUGUCUCUUCUAUUUUCUAUUACUGACUCCUUUAUUUUGAUUUCUUCAUUGUAAUGGAAUUGGUUUUCAUUCCAAAUUAGUCAAAACCUCCUAGAGUCAUUAAGUUCUGUUAGCAUUUGAAGAUAGAACUAGAACUAAAUGAUUGACUGGAUUAAAUUCCGAUAAAGAAUUAAGUUAUGUAUUUAGAGAUAUUUUGUUUUUUUUUUCAUUUGUUCAAUUUGGUUAGUGGUGAUUUCUUAAAGACUCAAUCCAUGUGCGUUUAUGCAUUUUUCUUUUGCCUUAAUUUCUGUUUCUUGGGGAGUUUAUACAGAUUCUUAUUUUAUGCUUCACAUGCCACAUGAAAGAUCGAAGCAUUUUGUGUGAUUAGAACUGACUUGCAUCACAGUAACUUUAAACCACUGCCACAUUUUUAUAAUAACAGUCUGAGAUCUCCCUGAAGGAUUCAAAGCAUUUUAUUUUAUAUUAACCUCCUUUAAGUGGGUUUCGACACUACCACAAGUUCUUUAAAUACUAAAACGAUUUUGAGUCUUUUGUAUCAUCUGAUUGAAAUACCUGAAAGCACUCGUGGCUGCAAAAAUAUAUCGAUUUUGAGUAUGGCGUGCAUGUAAAUUAUAUCGAUUUUUUCUAUAUGACAAGUAAGACUCUCUUUUACAAUGGCACGGAUGCGUCAUUGAGUAAUCAUGAUUCUUGCUGGUAGUGCUUUGUUGUAUCAAUCUGCUAGCUAUUCAGCUUUCUUUCUUUCUUUCUUCUUUUUUUUUUUUUUUUUUUGUUUUCAAAUAGCUUGUGGUUGUAGAAAUAUUUCAAUUAAACUAUACUUAAGUACUUAUUUAGUAUAACUUCUUUACUAGCCAAAAUAAUUUUUUUUUGGUUUUUUAUAAUUUAAUUAUACUUUAACUAGAGUUUUUGGGAUUAAACAAGUGAUAAUUUCUCUCUAUUAAGAAAAACUCAAAAUUUUUUAAUUACUAGAAUGCGUCUAAAUUAAAUUACAAUUAUAGACACUAAAAUAUAGUAAAUUUUUUUUUUUACUCUUUAAAACUGUCUUUACAUUCGAUAUCAUAUUUUUUUCUUAAAAUCUAAAUUGAUAUUUUUAUUUUAUUUUUGAUUAAUCUUAGAACACAUAUAAAGUGAUUCAUAUUGAUUUUAUACUAACAAACUAUCAUAGCACAUUCGAAAAUAAUUAACUCGUUCUUAUUUGCAUAGUGAAAAAGGCAAAUAGCUCACCCAAAUGUUAAGGAACUGGAGAGCUGCUGCUGGAGACGAAAGGAUGUGAAAAGCAUGGUAAAGAAAAAUUGCAUAAUUCUCACUUAGAAGAGGAAGAAAAAAAAAAUACAAUUAGAAUGAGAGGUAGCCAGUAGCCAGUAGCCGCCACCACCACCAGUCAAACUAUUUCGACACACUAAUACUGUAAUACAUAUCAAAAUGCAAUAUCGGUCCUAACAAAAUGAAAAUAAAAAUUCAUUACGAAUAUGUGUUAAAGAUAUCCCAAGUAUUGAUGUGAUUGAAAUAUUUGAGAUUGAAGUAGAAAUAAGACUCAAAAUCAAUUGAGAGGAAUAAAUGAGAAACUCUAAUACUAAUAAAAUAUAUUCACAAAUCCUAAUGCUAAUUAAAAUCACGGAUUAAAAAAAAUAAUAUGAAUGAAUUACAGGCGCAACUGUUUCAUUAAAAAAUUAAUAAAAUCGUGUAUUAAUAUUUUGUACACAUACAUUUUUCCAUAUAUAACUUUUGGUAAUUUAGUUUUCCACUUAUCAUUUUUACUCCAAAAAAAUAAUUGAGAAUAUUAUUUAUGUUUUGGUGCAAAAUAUUUAAACAACAUAAAAAUUUUCAGUUUAAUAAAUCUAAACAAUUCUCAAGUUAUAAAUGAAUUUAAUGGGUUUAAUUAGUAAAAAUACUAUUAUUUUAUAAAUUGGGUUUAGUAAUGGUAUAUUGGGUAUUUAAAUGGGUUUGUUGAGUAAAUUUUAAAAUUUUAAAGUUCAAGGGUAGGUUUAUUUAGUAAAUGGGUUAAUGCAGCAAUUUUCAAACUAAAUUUUUGGAAAAAGAGGCUAUUGAGUUUUUUUUAAGAAAAAGAAUUAAAAUGUUGAGAAUACCUUUAUUUAAUUUUAUAAUCUAAUUUUAAAAAAUUUACCCAAUAAAUUUUAUAAUUUUUUAUAAAAAUUAUCAUUAACAUCCAAACAGCUGAAGAUUAAAAAAAAAAAAAGAAGGGAACUGUACUAGCAAAAGUUAGAUUAACAAUAAAUUUAGUCCAAAGAAUAAAGUUAUAGCUAAAAAGUGCUCCUAUCCUAUUUUUCUCUAUUUUAACAAUAAUCUUCCAAUCCAUUUUACAAUGGACUUAACAAAUGGGCUCAAUCUCUAAACUUCAUUUUCUUUUGCUAACCCAUGGCCAUUAGCCAGAAAGCCUAAAACAAUUUUAGGAUCACAUGUGUAAAUGGAACCCCAAGAUUGAUCAAGAAUUAACAAGACAAGAUGAAGAGAUGAUCUUGUAACUAAGAAUGAAGAAAUUGAAUCAAGACAGUACUCUAGUAAAACCCAGAAAACAGAGCUUGAAGAAUCACGCACAAAGCAGUAAAUUUGUAAAACCAGAAUUGGAGCUUCACUUCUCAAGAUAGACGAAACAGGAUACAAUCUAGCUUUGGUCAACUUCGUUUGGCCACGUCAUAAAGUCUUCCCCCACAGUCUUUCCCGCCAAAACAGAAAAGCUUUAAAAGCCAUUUACCCUCCUGAGUUACUUGCUCCUAUUACAUCAAGGCCCUGUAAGUCUAUAUUUAUUAUUACAAAAGCACCCUUAAACCGAGAUUUGAGAUAUUUUUUCAAAGAUCGAAGCGCAUGAUUUCACGGCUAUGUUGCAUAGUGAAUUUUAGUGCUUUACAGUUAAGGGAUAGUUUAAAUUCAUUACAAAGCAUUCGCAAAGAAAUUGUUUUUAAAUGAAACUCCUCGUCUUGACCAGAUUAUUUAUUAUUAUUAAAAAAAAAAUGUUCAAAACUUAGCCAAAGUGAUAAACUCGUAAUUAUUCUACAAAGGGAACAAUUUUGAACGGUGGGAAAUUCCAUAAUUAUGCUUUUCUGUGAAUUAUUUUAAAUAAAAUUAUAAAAAUUAAUAUAAAAUUAUAAUAAUGAUAGAGCCACAAACUCUUGUACAAAUUUAUUUUAUACAAACUCAUGUGGCAUGAUAAGAUUGGUUGAAUUAAAUAUUACUUGGCCCACAUGAUUUGUUUUUAUUAUUUUAUAUUUUUAUUCAACCAAUAAAUUAAUACCACGUCAGUUUGUACAAAAUAAAUUUAUACAAAAAUUUGUGACUCGAUCAUCACUCAUAAAAUUAAUACCCGGUAAAGACUGUAGAGAGACAAGUGCCCCCAACAGAAUCAAGUGAAUAUGCCCCACAAAGAUCACAUGAUCAUUUCUGUUCUUUUUCUUUUUGAUAAUUUUAUCUGUGGUUUCAACUUUUAUGCUUUAUUGUCGUAUCCCGUUGAGGGCUCCGCUGCACCCAUUACAACUUACCCCUAAAUUGCCUCUUACUAACUAAACCGUUAGAUUUUAUGGAAGCACGUUCAAUGUUGAAUUUUAAUUAUGUCAUCGAAUUUCGUUUAGCUCCUUAAACUCCAUUUUAUUUGUAAUUUCUUCAUAAAAUAUUCAAAGCUUCAUCAAGCUCCUGAUGGACCAUCAUGGCUAGGGGUGCAUUAGAGCCGAACUGAAAUAUGUUAGUUCAGUUCAGUUUGGUCAGUUUAAAUCGAAUGGUUUAGAAUAUAUAAACUGAUCAAUUUUAAUUUUGAAUUGAACCGAACCGAAAAUCAAUUGGUUCACUAUUAGUAUUUUUGUAUAAACAAGAAUGAUUAGUGAUUAUAAUUAAAUUGGACUAAAAAAAAUUCAAACUAAGGUGAAAAAUAUCAAAUCUUAGACAAUAUAAAAAAAAAUAUUAAAUUUUUUUAACCGAAACGAACCGAAUUAUUUUGACUCAGUUUGGUUCAUAAUUUUUUAAACCAAACUGAUUUAUUCCCACCCCCUAAUCGUGGCUCUCUAUCUUUAGUCAUUCACCCUUGAGUUUGAUGCCAAUUGUUGGGUUUCAAAUGAUUAUACACUCAAAUGGAACCCUCAUAACAAAAAACUAACAGAAACAAUAAGAACACGAUGUUAAAAUCUUAAAUCAAUCGCAAAAAAGCACCCAAAACAGAUCGAUUAGGAACAGUUAAGAACAAAAGAUUUGAUGGUUCAAAAUCAUAAUGUGACCUACGUACUUUCAUCCAAGAAUCAUACUAAUUGCUUUACUAGUUGUCAAACUCAAGAUCACAAGAUUGUUUAUCACUCUACAUAAAAAUUUUUUUUAGAAGAAAUACUCCCCAAUUUUUCUCUUAAUAGUUAUGAAUCAACACCCCUAGGAAGCCUGUUGAUUUACUUUUCCUUAUUUCCUAUGAUCGGUUGCUGCAACUUAAUCCUUGCCAAGCUCCAACAUAGUCCAAACACUUUUAACGGUACAGGCAUAGUGCACCUUCAGAAACUUUACAGCUCCUCUUAAAACCUCAGGCAUCGUAAGCACAUUAAGCAGCCGACAACACUCUUCUUCAUUUCUUCAUUGUCAAUUUCCUUCUUGGAACAUUGCUCCAUUGAGAGUCUGCUAGAAUUGCUCCAAUUAUUAUUAUUAUUUAAAAAAAAAAGAAAACCCUGCAAUAAGAGUAUAAGACUAAGCAACGGUCCUUUUUUUUUCCCCAUUCUUGAACCUAAAGUAUUUGAGUAUGCAAAUUAAUAAAUAAAUUCAUUUAUUUUUAUUAAAAUUUUGUAAAAUUAUAAUUUUUAAUAAAAAUAAUUAUUAAAAUUUUGUAAAAUCUAAAUUUAGAAAAAUUCAGUUGGGCACCUCUAUUUGAGAUUUAUUUUUUAUUAAAUUUAGGGAUAUUUUUAUAAUUAUAAUUUUUAAUUUUAAAAGUUUUUAUAAGAUAAAAUAGUCUUUUAAUUUAUUUAGGGGGUAAAAUUGGUGUUUUAUUAAAAUUAUUUAAUUGUGUUAAUGCAAAAGUGGCUAUUUGAUACAAAUGUGAAAAGAAAGGUGGUGCAAAAUAUAUGUUAAAAUUUUAUAUUGGUUGGAUGAACAUAAGCUAAAAUAAAGGUGGUGCAAUGAUAAUUUCCCUAUCCUAAAACUUAAUUGACUUAAUUCUUACGGUGCAAGGAAGAGGUUUCCAAGUUUAAAUCUAAAGGCUUGUAUUUAAUUUGGGGUUGGGAAAGCACUGAGAAAUAAAUGUAACUAAGGAAAAAAAAAAAGUCACGCAGUCCAAAUAAGUAGAUAUAUUUAAUAUGAGGUGGGGAUGGGUGAACUGUAAUUCAGAAAAAAAUAAAAUAAAAUUUUAUAUAAAGUUGAGGGUGUGUUUUAAUGGUUUCUUAUGCUGCGUUUAUUUUUUGGACUAGAGUGAGAAUUCUAAAAAGUGAGAAUCCUAUGAUUAGGUGUGUGGAGUGGGAGUGGGAGUAUGGUAUUUACUUAGACUAAAUAAAAGUAUGGAUUGUCAAUCAGAAUCUCAAUUAUUUGUUACUUUGUCUUGGAUUGAGAGUAAAUUAUUUUAAAUUACAAUUUUAUCCUUAUGUAAAGAAUUAUAAUUUGUAAUUAAAAAAUUAAUAAAAAUAUAUUGGAAAAUAAAAUAAAUAUUUUAUUAUAUUUAUAAAAUAAUAAUAAUUAAUAAAAUUCUUAAUUAUGUAAAUCAUAAUUUUUUAUUAAUUUAAAUUUAAAUUAUGUGAAUAAAAUUAUUAAUAAUAGCAACACAAAUGAAACAUUAUUAUUAAUAAUAUAGUAUAAAAUUAAUAUUUUUUUAGAAUAAAAUAUUUAUUAUUAUUAAAUAAAUAAAUAAUAUUUAUUAAAAUUAAUGUUUAAUAUUAUUAAUUUAAAUAUAAUAUUUAUUUAUUUUUAUUUUAUUUUAUUAAAUUUAAUAAAAUAAAUAUGUUAUAAUUAUUAUUUUUAAUAAAUAUGAUAUUAUUUAUUUUAUUAAAUAUUAUUUAUUUAUUUUAAUUAUGAGGGUAAAAAUGGAAGAGGGGGAGUGGAUUCCCACUCCCACCUCCCCCCAUGGGAGUGGGAAUCCCACUCUCCCCUUAAAAAUGGUAAGUAAAUAUUAGAAUGGGAAGAAUCUACACUCUACACUUUCUAGAAAAUAAACACUACCUUUAUUUAAAUCGAUUUGUUGGAUAUUUAGCUAAAAUGAGAGUAGCUCUCUAAUAAUUAUUGCAUUAUUACAAACAUAUCCAACGGUUAUAAUAGCGCGCUGAAUCAAUGCUUCAGAAGGAUGACAGUCUGAGUGAAAAGGAAAUAAACGCUUUCAAUUGAAUUACUACCACUACACUCCAAUACUCUAUUAUUGUUUGUGUGCUUGCUUGUGGACCUUUUUACUUCUUACUAUCAUUAUUGAAUUCCAUUUCCAAAUUUUCAGCAUACUUUUGCUUUCUUUCAGUAUCUUCAGUUUCUCUUUUGCUUGCUAUCAAUUCAGUUUUCUUCUUGUGAAGAUCGAACGGAACCAUGGUUGCUGUGGGAGAGAUCUUACUCAACGCCUUCUUUCAGGUGUUGUUUGACAGGUUGGCUUCCCGUGAUUUGCUCAGCUUUGUCCGUCAACUUGGAGGCGGGGACGAUUCCGAGCUCAAGAAGUGGGAAAGAAAGCUGAAGAUGAUUCAGGCGGUGCUCAACGAUGCAGAGGAGAAGCAACUGACCGACGAGGCCGUGAAGAUGUGGCUGGACGAUCUCCAAGACUUGGCUUAUGACGCUGAGGACAUUCUUGAGGAGUUUGCUACUCAAGCUUUGGAAAGCAAGUUGAUGGCGAAAAAUCAGGAUCGCAUUGGCCAGGUUCUUAGUUUCAUACCGGCUAGUUUGAAUCCGAAUGCUAUUAUGUCCAAUUAUAGCAUGGGAUCCAAGAUUAAAGAUAUUACUAGCCGGUUGGAGCAACUCUGCCAAGAUAGAAUUGAACUUGGGCUGCAACGGAUUGCUGGAGGGGCAUCAUCAACUACUUCUGCUGCACAUCAGAGGCGAGACAGUUCGAGUGUCCCAACAGAACGUGAAGUAUUUGGAAGAGAAGAAGAUAAGGCCAAAAUUCUUGAUAUGGUAUUGACCGAUACCCCAAGUGAUCGUGCCAACUUUGUUGUAAUACCCAUUGUUGGCAUGGGCGGGAUAGGAAAAACAACUCUUGCCCGGGAGGUCUACAAUGACAAGGCCGUUGAAGAUUCCAAGUUUGAUGUAAAAGCAUGGGUUUGUGUCUCUGAUGUCUUUGAUAUUUUGGGCAUCUCAAAGGCACUUCUCCAGUCAAUCACCUCCGCAGCUAGUGAUCUCAAGACUUUAAAUGAGGUGCAGGUUCAACUGAAAAAAGCAGUUGACGGAAAAAGAUUCUUGCUGGUCUUAGAUGAUGUUUGGAACGAGAACUACAACUUGUGGGAAGACUUAAAAGCUCCGUUCCUGGAUGCUGCACCAAACAGCAAGAUGAUCGUCACCACACGCAAUUCAAGUGUUGCAUCAACAAUGAGACCCAUUGAACAUUUCAAUCUCAAGAGUCUGUUGGAUGACGAUUGCUGGUCCAUUUUUAUAAAGCAUGCAGUUGAAGGUGGAGAUCUUAACGAGGAUCAAAUUUCAGAAUCAUUCCGCAAGAAAGUUGUUGGCAAGUGUGGAGGCUUGCCUCUGGCAGCAAAAACUCUCGGGGGCCUUCUGCGUACGACGAGGCAUGAUGGGUGGGAUGGUAUAUUGGAUAGCAAAAUAUGGGAAUUACAUCAACAUAGCAGCAUUCUCCCUGUGUUAAGAUUGAGUUACCAUCAUCUUCCGUCUCAUUUGAAAAGAUGUUUUGCUUUUUGUGCCAUCUUUCCAAAAGAUUAUGAAUUCACUGAGAAGGAGCUGACUUUCUUAUGGAUGGCUGGAGGUAUUAUUCGACAGUCAAGAAACAAUGAGCAGCUGGAAGAUUUGGGCAGCAAGUGCUUUGGUGAUCUAGUGUCAAGGUCAAUUUUUCAACAAACAGCAAUCUCUGAUAGUUCUAAAUUUGUAAUGCACGACCUUAUCCAUGAUCUUGCUGAAUUGGUCUCUGGAGGAACCAUAUUUAGGUCAGAGGAGGCCAAUACUCUAUCAAGAAGAUUUGAAAGGGUUCGCCAUUCUUCCUAUACCCGUGAUUGGUAUGAUGGUAAAAAUAAGUUCGAGGUUUUCAAUGAAAUUGAACAUCUACGAACAUUCUUGCCGUUAAGAGGUAACUAUUGUACUAGUUACAUAACUCGACCGAUUCUAUCUGAUAUGCUGCCAAAGUUCAAAAGGUUGAGAACGCUAUCUUUACAAGGAUACUGUAUUGGUGAGUUACCAAUUCCAUUUGAAGAUUUGAGACUUUUAAGGUUCCUCAACCUUGCUGACACUGACAUAAGAAGUUUACCUGACUCAACAUGCAAAUUGCUGAACUUGGAAAUUCUGAUAUUAAGAAAUUGUUCCCGUUUGAUAAAGCUUCCGCAGAAAAUGAGGAAUUUGAUCAAUUUAUGCCAUCUGGAUAUAAGAGGUGCGAAGUUGCUGAAGGAGAUGCCAGUCGGAAUGAAAGAGCUGAAGAAGCUUCAAACAUUGUCCAAUUUUAUUGUAGGCAAGGGUGAAUCCGCAUCUGGUUUGGAAGAUUUAAAAAGUUUAAACCUUCUUUGUGAUGAACUUUGCAUUGCUGGAUUAGAGAAUGUGAAUAAUCCACAGAAUGCAAGAGAAGCCGCAUUAUGUGAGAAGCACAAUCUUGAAGCAUUGACUCUAACAUGGUGGCCUCAAUUUGACAGUCCUCGAGGUGUAGUAGUGGAAGAGAAUGUACUUGACGUUUUGCAGCCUCAUAAAUGUAUAAAAAAGGUGGCAAUCAGGAACUAUGGUGGUGCAAGAUUUCCACCUUGGAUAGGAGAUACUUUAUUCUCCAAGAUAGAGCUCCUUGAAUUGAAGAACUGUGACAAUUGUGUGUCUUUGCCAUCGCUUGGCCUAUUGAGUUCACUUAAACACCUUGCUGUUAAAGGGCUGAAGAAACUAAAAAGCAUAGAGUCUGAGGUUUAUGGGGAGGGUUUGUCAAUGCCUUUUCCAUCGUUGGAGGUUCUAAGUUUUGAGAAUUUGCCUGAAUGGGAGUAUUGGGACACCAAUAUCAGAGGAAAUGUGCUCGUUGAAAUGUUUCCUCGUCUCCAUAAACUUUCCAUUGUGGAAUGUCCAAAACUCUCUGGGGAACUGCCUGAGCUCCUGCCCUCCUUGGAGACACUUGUUGUUAUUAAAUGUGAAAAUUUGGUAGUUCCAUUGUCUCGCUAUCCGAUGCUCUGCAGAUUAGAAGUUGAUGAGUGCAAGGAACUAGCGUGCGGGACUCCAAUUGAUUUCAAGUUGAUAAAGUCUGUGACUAUUUCAAAUAGUUCCUUAGACAUGGAUGGAUGCAAGGGGAUGCUAUACGAUGGUCCAGCUAGCUCUUCACUGCCAAAGCCCACGAUUACUACAAAUGUUUUGGAGUUUGGAAAAUUAUUGAAGCCUGGAUUUCAGAUAUUAGAAACGUUGGUAAUUGGCAAUUCUGAACAGCUCAAGUCAUGGAGGCAGCAUGGGGAUUUUCUAGAAGAAUAUAUGGUCGCUCGCCAAAGGUUUAAGAAACCAGUACAAGGGCUGAAUAUGCUCGCUUCCCCUGAAGAGGUAACAAUUGAAGAAAGUUGCGUACGUCUUGUUUUGUUUCCAGAGAUCAAUUUCUUUCCCAGAAAUCUGCGCUCUCUUCUAAUUAACAACAACACUGCUUUCAAAUCCUUACCCGAGGAAAUGAUGGAAAACAAUUCACAACUCGAAAGGUUGUAUAUCAGAGAUUGCGACUCUCUAACAUUCAUCGCAAGACGGAGGCUACCAGCAUCUCUUAAAAGGCUUGAGAUAGAAAAUUGUGAGAAAUUGCAACGUCUGUUCGAUGAUGAAGAGGAUGCUUCUUCUUCUUCUUCUCCUUCAUCCUCGUCUUCCCCAGUGAUGCUGCAACGCCUGAAUAUAAAGAACUGCCCAGAGCUCACCAGUUUAUCAUCGGGUGUCCAAUUCCUUGAGGCGCUUGAAGGCCUCGAGAUAUGGGAUUGUCCAAAGCUGGAGUCAAUACCGGAUGGCCUGCACAAUCUUAAAUGUUUACAGAGCAUUCAUAUAGAUGGAUGUCCAAGUCUUGUUUCCUUGCCCAAUGACAUGCACAAACUGAACUCUCUUCGAGAUUUAAACAUACGGGCGUGUCCAAUAUCGUUUCCAGAAGAAGGUUGUCCUACCAAUCUAACAUCACUUACACUUGGAUAUGUCGAAAUGUAUAAGACACUCGUCCAGUGGGGGUUGCACAGGCUUACCUCUCUUAGAAGCCUCGACAUUUUUGGAUGUGAUGAUGAAGCAGAGUGUUUUCCAGACGAGGAGAUAGGAAUGACGCUGCCCACCUCUCUCACUCAUCUGCACCUUUUUGAUUUCGAAAAAUUGAGAUCUCUGUCUUCGACGGGUUUUCAGAGCCUCACCUCUCUUCAAUCUUUGGAUAUCUGGUUUUGCCCAAAUCUCACAUCAUUCCCAAAGGUGGGCUUUCCAUCCUCACUUGUGGAAUUACGCAUUAGAGAUUGUCCAAAGCUUAAAAAAGCGUGCAAAAGAGAUCAAGGAAAAGAGUGGCCCAAAAUUGCUCACAUCCCUUGCGUUGAGAUAGACGAUAAAUUCAUAUACCAUCCAAAAUCAGAGGUGUAGAGUGUAUUAUUAAGGUCAGUUGAUUUAUGUUAUCCACCAUAACAAGCUCCUCCUUUUUUUUUAAAUAAUAAUUUUGCAGUCACUCGCGUGAUUCCGUUUUCACAAGUCAGAUUGUAUGUUGAGGCUAUUUGCCUUUUAAUCGCAGAUUAAAUUAUAACACUUAUCUUAAAAUUUAAUACCAUAGACAGAUAGACGAUUUUUUAAUCCAAAGUUUUUUUAUUCACUUCAGUUAGCAUUUUUUUUUUCCCCAAAUCAUGCAAGCCGAGAGUUUCAAUCAACAGAAUUUUAUUCACUCAUUGACUUUUCAACUGCUGUGGUUAUUUAUGGGUGAAAGAUAAAUUUCUUAGAUGGUAGAUAUAUCGACAUUUUAGAUUUCAGAUAUUUGUCACCAAUUUCAUUCCUUUUUUUAAAAUUUUUUUUAAGCAAGUUUGACUAAUUUUAACCAGAAUUGGAGUAUAAUAUUUUGGAGCAAGCAUACUUGAAAUUUCUGUCUUCAAUUUUUUUGAUGCUUUUUUAAUUUUGAUCUAGUAAAAAUACAUAGCCUUCACCGGCAGGAUUCUAGUCUUGGCUUUCACCUCUCUAACUCAUCUGUCCCUAUUGGGAUUCCAGAAAUUUAAAUUUCUGUCUUCAAUGGGUUUUCAAAGCCUCACCUCUCUUCGAUUUUUGUGGAUUGGGAAUUGCACAAAUCUCACAUCAUUUCCCGAGGUCGAGGAAAAGAGCGGCCCAAACUAUCAGCGGUGUUGAUUCUCUUAUUAAGGUCAGCUGAUUUCUAUUAUCCACUCUGACAAUCUCCUAUUAGUGUUUUUUUUUUAAAAAAUUUGCAGUUCUGUAUAAUUGAAAUGCCACUCACUUGUUUCCUUCUUCACAGGUCAGAUAGUAUGUUAAAGCUAUUAGUGCUGCCUCAUAGGUUGAUUACUCACAGAUGAAAUCAUAACUUUUAUCUUAAAAUUUAAUAGCAUACACAGAUAGACGAUUUUUAGUCCAAAGUUUUUUUUAUUCACUUCAAUCAAAAUUUUAGAUUGCAGAUUUUUGUCGAGUAUUUUCAUUCCAAUUUUUUCAUUUUUUAUUUUAAACCAGAAUUGGAGUAUAAAAUUUUGGAGCGCGCAUACUCUGAUGCAUGCAAUUAACUGUUUUUAAUCGUUGGAUUUUGAAAUUAAUGAUGGUAAGAUGUGUACUUAUUCUUUCUUCCAACAACCUUGCCUUCUUUCUUCGGUCGCAUAUCUAAUGAAUAUUUCUCUGUUUAGUUAAGGAUGAAUGCUUGGAGUGGGGUACUUGGUAACAUUUCUGCCUUAGAUGAAUCCUUGAAGAAAUGCCCGCAGUUCCUGAGACCAAAUACAGGUCUGAUUCAAAACAGCACCUUUCCCAGAAAAUAUGAUCCAAGGCAAAGUCAUGUUCUGAUAAUGUUUCCUUAAGUACUAAGUUGCAAGGAAACUUGAUUCAUUAACUACAGUUUUUUAUUUUUAGGACCUUGUAUCUGAAAGGUUCAGUGUUUUUUUUUUUCAAAUUUAUUGUUCAGAUCUCAGAGGAGUAUAUGGUUUAGAUUACAAAACACCCAUGAUUAAUUUCAUUUUUUUUUUAAUUUCAGGGAGAAGAAGUGGUCAGUUUCAAUCCGGAAUUGGAAUAUGGCAAUUUGGUUCAAGCAAACACACCUGGUCACUUGGUCAGUGGUCACUUGGUCAGCGAACCUGAACUUUACGCAGUUUUUUCAACUCAGUGAUUUUUGGAACGCAUAUUGGUGUAAGGAAAUCAAAAGAAAUUUAUGCAUUGUCAAAUUCUGAUAUUUGCUAUAUAUUAUACAUUCUAAAGUUUCUCCAGUUUGUUCUCAGAUUACCAUCAUUUUUUGCUUUCACCAACCAAACAAAAACAAAAUGAGUGGCUUUCCGGUGGAUAUUUAAUCGGAGGUAUGACUGGAUUUUUUUCACUUCUGUAAAUCUUGCAUUUUAAACUGGCAAAUUUAACUUUAAUUUUAAUAGGACUUUGUUGGUACCUUGUGUUCCAGAAACUAGAAAGAUGUGUAGUUUUCAGAUAAAGGGGCUUGUAAAUUCUCUAGUAAGAAUCCAAUAAUUUGCUUUUGCACGUUCAUUUUAUUUGUGGAUCCUUGCAUCUGAAUUUGAUCAAUCCAAAAGGAAUUGCUUUUAGACAGAAGAAGAAUAGCAGUACCUAGCCUAUGACAUAGUAUAUGGACCUGCAAACCUGAAACUAUUAGUUUGAGGUAAAAAAUUCAUGACCCUCACAUGUUAACUUCUUCUAGUUACUUUCAUGAAAAACACAUUUAAGAAAUUUGCAAUUUUUUGUUAGUUUCGUAUCCGAUGUUGUUUUCUGUUUUAGCAUUUGUAGAAUCUACUGUAUUAUAUUUUGGCAGUUGCAGUAUCUGAGGUAUGUUUUGCAUUUAACUUGCUUUGUUUGUUUUGCUUGUGACUUAAGAACACCAAUAUUUGCCAGAGAUUUAGAGAAGCAUAUCAAGAUGCUUGGCAAACUUGACAAACUUCAAGAUCCUCCAUUCUUCACAACGCAAAACUUGUGAGUACACCUAUGCCCGCAAUUAUUGUGAAAUGCUUGCAAUUUUGAUGCACUGAAAUGGUUUGUUGAUGCAAAGGUUUAAACUUUUAAGAUUCACCCUGCAGGGUAGUUGGAUGCUGUAUAAUCGAAAAGCGACCAACAUCAAGAAUUAUGACUCCAAGACCGGGUUUGCAUUAAUUCAAUCAGCUGAAAUCAUGAUGCAAAUGACACUAUCAGCUGGACUUAGAGACCAGUCAGAUCAAUCAUCCUUUUAUCAACAGUUAAUGUCAUGAUGGUGGCUAUCGGAGGAAACAAAGGAUGUGUCGGAAUCAAUAUGAACAGUGAGAAGAAUGAGAGGAGCUUUGAUUACAAGUAGGCUCAAUGAACUCAUGCUGGU